CCUGGGGAGGAACUCAUCUGCCUCAGCUCCAGCUCACAGCUGGAAGAAGAACACAGUGAGAGCCCAUGCUUACAGGCGGUGCUCAGAGAUGCAGGAACUCCAAAAUCAAGAGGCAGGAUCCAACAUCAAGAACGAGCUGAUGUUUGGAGUACAAAACAACACUCCCAGGAGCUAGUUUUUUGAGAGGAGUGGUGACAAGUGCAUCUGAAAUGCCAGUGGCUCUGUAGGAAGUUGGUGGUAAGCAUGCCAGAAAAAAAACAGACUGGUGACAAAGCAUAGGACCCUGACGGCCUCAUAUCAUCUCUGUUGUCCAAAGUGGUGUGCUUAAUUCAGUGGGCCCUUAAGCACUGCUACUGUGACAACUGUCCUUUCAGUUUAAGGAGUGCCAAACCAUGUCUAUCAGGUGCCAACCCCAACCACAGUGCUUUAAACUUGACUGGAAGGCACUAGCUAGCCUUUCUGGGACAUGGAAAUAGGGUAGGGCAUAGAAAAUCCUUAAAGCACGUGUUUUUAUACAUUAAAAGACUAACUGAUUUAACUGCAUUUUAUUUAUAGUUUUCAAAAGAAAAACAAAAAGUAUUUGGCAAGACUUUUUCUCCCCCCACAUUUUCAAGCAUGUUUACUGUAAAUAACAUAGUAGAUAUAAAAAUUUUAUUGGAGAACAUUUGUAUUAGCUCUGCUUCUCUCUGGGGUUGUAUAUCUUGAGGAUAUAACCAAUUCUAACACUUAAGGGACUGGAGAAGUGAAAGUGAUUCUACCUUCAGAAACAGGAUUAUUCUCUUAAAGCUAUAUACUUUUUUCUGUUAAACCCACUGAGGCACUAUUAGAAUAGCUGCAUUCAUAUUUCUUAGGCUGAUUUCUAUUUUUAUGAAUUACUACGUAAUGUUACUAGCACAAUGUGGAUAGAUAUAUAUUUGGACAUUGGGAGAGGGGACGAACUCAAACUUUUACACACAGUAUGAUAGAUUCUGUGCUUGUUGUUGCUACCUGCGAAGCACAUUUGGGAUUGUAAUAUUAAUCUAGUAGUACCAAAAAAAGCAUGCCAAGUGUCAGUAAAUAAUUAUCAAAGGAAAGAGCAAAGAACAAACUGGGUAAUGUAUAGUGUGCUUACAUCUUGACCAUCUCCUCUAGUCCCCGCAUCUCAAAAGGGAUGUAGAAGGAAAGCAUGGGCAGGCAUCAGUUU
rnacentral:lncRNA from 1 species